rnacentral:lncRNA from 1 species
CAAACGCAGGGCCCGCCUUUGUCGGCUGCUGGCUUUCUGCACAGAGGUGUGGCCACAUCAUCAUUUCUAGCAGCAAAAAAUCAACCUCAUCCUAACGACCCGCCUCGGGGAACAGUUAAGGAACAAGGAUCCAGAGCUGAUGGACUAUAAGCAAGAAGGAAAAUAAAGCUCACAGUGACUCCAUUAAAACACGAGAAAACGCACAAUAUGCUGUGAAGUGACAGCAAGCACACCAUUUUCUACCCUGUGAGGAUUUCCACGCCCAUAAACACAAGCAUAUGUGCGUAGAUAUAACAUCCUCUCCACAUUCACUGGAAGAAUGUGCAACAGAACGCUACAGAUCAGCACCAGCCGCGUCCCAGGCGGGAGAAGGUAGCAUCGGCGGAGGUCGCGUCCCCUUUGGAGACUUGGCCCCGUGGCUGCUCUCGGCGGUGAAGCCUCUGUGAGGGAAGUUUUUACCUUUUCAGCACCCGCAGCAGAUAAAGAUGGGCAAACAGGGAUUGAAAAUCAAAACUAAAACUUCUAUGUCCACCCUCACCCACUCCACAGAAAUAAAAAAUGCAAGGAUGUGUGGUUCCAACUCCAUGACAUCCUGGCAAGGGCACAACGAUGGAGACAGGAGAAAGAUCAGUGGUUGCCAGGGGAGGGCGAAGGAGGGACGAGUGGGCGGAGCACAGAGGGUUUUAGGGCUGUGAAACAGCUCUGUCUGAGACAUGUCAUGACACAUGAGGAUGGACACAUGUCGCUAUACAUUUGUCAAAACCGAC